AACUUAUCAAGAGUGGUGGAGGGACUGGCCCUAAGAAACCCAGCAACCUACGUAGGUUAAUUAUAAUGAAUGAUUUUCACUUAUAUAACCUCAUUGUGUGGUGCUAAUUCCUGUUAGAUAAGGG
rnacentral:ncRNA from 2 species